AAUUGCUUCUAGCUCUGCUAGAGUGGUGUCUAUGUAAAUAAGCAGACUGAGACCUACUUCUGAUGAAUGUAGGAAAGGAAAUGCUUUCUUCUCAAUGCUAAAGUGAGCUGGAGACUUUCAUCUUUAGGGAUCAGCAUGACACUGAAGACAUUGAAGAAUAUGUUCAGGCUAUGGAUGUUCAGCAUUUGAUACAGUUACAAGUAUUUGGUUGAGAGGAGUCUGCACCUUCAGGUGGUCCCAGCUGUAGGGUUAAGUGAACUGAAUGAAAAACUGAUGAAACAAACUGACUGCUCUAUCAUUUCUCCUCCUGAUGUAGAGAUUUCAAAAGAAGAGAGGGC
rnacentral:lncRNA from 1 species